rnacentral:rRNA from 1 species
GUUUUUGAACGCAAGUUGCGCCCGAAGCCACUAGGCCGAGGGCACGUCUGCCUGGGCGUCACGCAUCGCGUCGCCCUCCCCUCCCCCCUUCCACUCUUCUGUUGGACGGGGGCCGUGCGGGGGAGGGCGGAAAAUGGCCUCCCGUGCCAACCCGCGGCCGGCCUAAAAACCCUGGUCCCUCGCCAUGGACGUCACGACAAGUGGUGGUUGAAACCCUCAACUCGAUUGCGAGUCGUGCGACGACCCGUGGCCGGGAGACCGAUCGACCCUAUAGCGAGCCGACGCUCGCCACGACCGCGACCCCAGGUCAGGCGGGGCUACCCGCUGAGUUUAAGCAUAUCAAUAAGCGGAGGAAAAGAAACUAACAAGGAUUCCCCUAGUAACGGCGAGCGAACCGGGAAAAGCCCA